rnacentral:RNase_P_RNA from 17 species
AAAGUCGGCCAGGCAAUCGCUGGGCACGUAAGUGCCGGGAGGAAAGUCCGGGCUCCAUUGGGCGGGAUGCCAGUUAACGGCUGGGUGCUAUACGGUCGCAAGACCUAAGGCAACGGAAAGUGCAACAGAGAAUAGACCGCCGAUGGCGUUGUAAGACGCACAGGUAAGGGUGAAACGGCGAGGUAAGAGCUCACCGCGUCCACGGUAACGGCGGACGGCACGGUAAACCCCAUCCGGAGCAAGACCAAAUAGGGAAGCUGAGGCGUGGCCCGCGCUGCUUCCGGGUAGGUUGCUUGAGCCUGUCGGUGACGGCAGGCCUAGAGGAAUGAUUGCCGAACCUCGCAAGAGGGGAACAAAACCCGGCUUAUCGGCCGGCUUUCCAA